GAUGAACGCUGGCGGCGUGCCUAAUACAUGCAAGUCGAGCGAACAGAUAAGGAGCUUGCUCCUUUGACGUUAGCGGCGGACGGGUGAGUAACACGUGGGAAACCUACCUAUAAGACUGGAAUAACUCCGGGAAACCGGGGCUAAUGCCGGAUAACAUGUUGAACCGCAUGGUUCUACAGUGAAAGGCGGCUUUGCUGUCACUUAUAGAUGGACCCGCGCCGUAUUAGCUAGUUGGUGAGGUAACGGCUCACCAAGGCAACGAUACGUAGCCGACCUGAGAGGGUGAUCGGCCACACUGGAACUGAGACACGGUCCAGACUCCUACGGGAGGCAGCAGUAGGGAAUCUUCCGCAAUGGGCGAAAGCCUGACGGAGCAACGCCGCGUGAGUGAUGAAGGUCUUCGGAUCGUAAAACUCUGUUAUUAGGGAAGAACAAAUGCGUAAGUAACUGUGCGCGUCUUGACGGUACCUAAUCAGAAAGCCACGGCUAACUACGUG
rnacentral:rRNA from 1 species